rnacentral:rRNA from 1 species
GACGAACGCUGGCGGCGUGCUUAACACAUGCAAGUCGAACGGAACGGCCCUGCUUGGGUGGGGUGCUCGAGUGGCAAACGGGUGAGUAACACGGGAGUAACCUGCCCUUGACUUUGGUAAAACUUCAGGAACCUGGGGCUAAUACCGGAUAGGCGCUCCUGCUGCAUGGUGAGGGUUGGAAAGUUUCGGCGGUUGGGGAUGGACCCGCGGCUUAGCUGCUUGGUGGUGGGGUGGUGGCUUACCAAGGCGUCGACGGGUAGCCGGCCUGAGAGGGUGACCGGCCACACUGGGACUGAGAUACGGCCCAGACUCCUACGGGAGGCAGCAGUGGGGAAUAUUGCACAAUGGGCGGAAGCCUGAUGCAGCAACGCCGCGUGAGGGAUGAAGGCCUUCGGGUUGUAAACCGCUUUCGCCUGUGACGAAGCGUGAGUGACGGUAAUGGGUAAAGAAGCACCGGCUAACUACGUG